CGGGUGAGUAACACGUAGGUAAUGUACCUUUGGGUGGGGAAUAACUUAGGGAAACUUAAGCUAAUACCGCAUAAUGCAGCGUCUCCUAAUGGAGACAGUUGUUAAAGAUUUAUCGCCUAAAGAGCAGCCUGCGGCAGAUUAGCUAGUUGGUAAGGUAAUGGCUUACCAAGGCUACGAUCUGUAUCCGACCUGAGAGGGCACACGGCCACACUGGCACUGAAACACGGGCCAG
rnacentral:rRNA from 1 species